UCUGGCUGUGUGUUCAGUCCAGGGCUGUGUUUCUCUGGCUGUGUAUUCAGUCCAGGGCUGUGUUUCUCUGGCUGUGUGUUCAGUCCAGGGCUGUGUUUCUCUGGCUGUGUGUUCAGUCCAGGGCUGUUAACCAACCCCAAACCCAGCUGAGCUAACUGCCGCUCUGCGAUCCUGUCAUUGAAGACAGGAGGAAACUGGACGGACUGGAAGAACUAGUGGACGGAGAGAAAGAGAGAGAGAGAGAGAGAGAGAGAGAGAGAGAGAGAGAGAGAGAGAGUAUACUAGGUACUACUACUACUAGGUAUCCCCCCUUUCCCUUUCCAACUGACUAGGUAUCCCCCCUUUCCAACUGACUAGGUAUCCCCAUUUCCCUUUCCAACUGACUAGGUAUCCCCCAUUUCCCUUUCCAACUGACUAGGUAUCCCCCCUUUCCAACUGACUAGGUAUCCCCCCUUUCCAACUGACUAGGUAUCCCCCCUUUCCAACUGACUAGGUAUCCCCCUUUCCCUUUCCAACUGACUAGGUAUCCCCAUUUCCCUUUCCAACUGACUAGGUAUCCCCCAUUUCCCUUUCCAACUGACUAGGUAUCCCCCUUUCCCUUUCCAACUGACUAGGUAUCCCCCUUUCCCUUUCCAACUGACUAG
rnacentral:lncRNA from 1 species